rnacentral:rRNA from 1 species
CGCGAAUGGCUCAUUACAACAGCCAUAGUUUAUUGGAUGUUUACGUUCCUACAAGGACACCUGCGGUAAUUCUGGAGCUAAUACUUGCGAAAUGCGACAACCUCACGGGAGUCGUGCAUUUAUUAGAUUAAACCAAUCGGUCCUUCGGGACCGCCAUUUGGUGAACCCUGAAUAACUUAGCUGAUCGCACAGUCUCGUACUGGCGACAAAUCUUUCAAGUGUCUGCCUUAUCAACUUUCGAUGGUAGUUUAUACGACUACCAUGGUUGUAACGGGUAACGGAGAAUAAGGGUUCGACUCCGGAGAGGGAGCCUGAGAAACGGCUACCACAUCCAAGGAAGGCAGCAGGCGCGCAAAUUACCCACUCGCAGAACGCGGAGGUAGUGACGAAAAAUAACGAGGUGGCUCUCUAUGAGGUCCAUCAUCGGAAUGGGUACAAUUUAAAUCCUUUAACGAGGAUCUAUUGGAGGGCAAGUCUGGUGCCAGCAGCCGCGGUAAUUCCAGCU